AUCAACGAUUCAUCCCCCUCAGCUCAGCUAUUGACGCACUCAAAUUGGUAUUUUUUUCUUUUCCAGUAAGUUUGACGGUCUAAAAAUUCUUAACAUUUGGGAGUUAGUACAAAAAGAGAAGGAUAGGAGAUGAACGGGAUGAGUAGAAGAAGUUUGGAGAGUUGAAAAUCUGGGCUUUGUGGCUGGUUGAAGAGAAUGUUAGUCAAUAGAGAAAAAAAAUUGACUGAGAAAGAGAAGCAGGGCAAAAAUUGACAGAAAAAAAAUUAUGUCGCAAAUAAUCUAUCAUUUAUUUUUGAAAAUUUUUGAUUUUUCAUCGAUUAUUUGUGAUGAAAAGUAGGUUUACGUUGCAAAUAUAUAAUUAUUUACGUUGG
rnacentral:lncRNA from 1 species